GGGUUGUGAGGUUAAGCGACUAAGCGUACACGGUGGAUGCCCUGGCAGUCAGAGGCGAUGAAGGACGUGCUAAUCUGCGAUAAGCGUCGGUAAGGUGAUAUGAACCGUUAUAACCGGCGAUUUCCGAAUGGGGAAACCCAGUGUGAUUCGUCACACUAUCAUUAACUGAAUCCAUAGGUUAAUGAGGCGAACCGGGGGAACUGAAACAUCUAAGUACCCCGAGGAAAAGA
rnacentral:rRNA from 1 species